rnacentral:rRNA from 1 species
CCUACGGGAGGCAGCAGUGAGGAAUAUUGGUCAAUGGACGAGAGUCUGAACCAGCCAAGUCGCGUGAAGGAUGACUGCCCUAUGGGUUGUAAACUUCUUUUAUAUGGGAGUAAACUGUUCCACGUGUAGGAUUUUGUAUGUACCCUAUGAAUAAGGAUCGGCUAACUCCGUGCCAGCAGCCGCGGUAAUACGGAGGAUUCGAGCGUUAUCCGGAUUUAUUGGGUUUAAAGGGUGCGUAGGGGGCUUGUUAAGUCAGUUGUGAAAUUUUGCGGCUCAACCGUAAAAUUGCAGUUGAUACUGGCAGUCUUGAGUGCAGUAGAGGUAGGCGGAAUUCGUGGUGUAGCGGUGAAAUGCUUAGAGAUCACGAAGAACUCCGAUUGCGAAGGCAGCUCACUGGACUGCAACUGACGCUGAGGCUCGAAAGUGUGGGUAUCAAACAGGAUUAGAUACCCCGGUAGUC